AUUGUUAUUGUUUAUUUUAUUUUUUGAUCACCAACAACCGACUUUUGAGCUAUAAGCCUGUAUGUGUGCAUAAAAUCCCAUCCCAUCAGGAGUAAAAGGAUUGGAGUUAGAGUCCUGCUCGGUGUGAAAUUAUUUAAUGCACAGGGACAUCAAAUGUUCAACUAGAAAACCAAAGUUCAGCAUUCAGAGUUCAACCUCAAAAUGGCAUGAAGAAUCCAACAGAAUCUCCACUUUGGGAACUGCUGUGUGACAGAGGUGUGCUGCCAUGACAUUGAGAUCACUUCACAUGGAGUCACAGUCCUUGCCUUUCAGGAACCUGUCAUGCUAUCCUGAAGCAUGUUGUGAAGAAGUCCAAGCCACAUGGUGAGGGAAGCCCAAGCCGUCUGUUGAUGCUCCAACACAUUGUCUUCACUGAGCCUUACCUUCAAGUUACCCAGCCCAGCACUGAAAAUACAGGACUGGAGCAUCAGGGACUCAUGACUCUGUGGCUUCUGAUGAGGACGGUGACAUAUUGCAGGAAUCAUCGUGUGCACAUAUCCAUUCCAUGAGGUAUAUUUCUGCACUGGAGGCAGACUGGCUCCUGGAAUGUGAGAAGCUAAGCCACUUGGCCUGUGGUAUCUUCUAUGGCAGCUCUAACAACUAAUAAAAACUAAUUCAGAAGGGAAUGAGCCAGCGCUGGAGAGAAUGGGCCGGCUGGAAUGAAUUCCGGGCUCUUGUCCCUCCUCCCAGUGAGCAUCUCACUCUUCUUUAAGACCCCACCUUCUUCUCCCCUCCCUUUCAUUGCUCCCGCUACAACUGCCUUCACAUUGCUCAGAUUCUGGUCCUGGCAAUCUUACGUCUGCCAAAAUAUGGGGAGAAACACCUCCUAACUCAUGGAGAUUGCGAAACCUCUGAAGCCACUCUGGACUUGCCGUCUGUCUGCUUCCUGACUUGUCUUUGUUCUCUCUGGACAAAAAUAAUGAACCCCCGAGGAGGCCCGGGGAUUUAAAAAAAUAAUAACUAAACUACUCAAGGACUUACAAAACAGUAGUAGCCUGUAAUUCUACUUGUUAUCUCUCCUGAAAGAGAAACAUUGUCCCAAUACUUACAGCAUUUAUUAUAUCUUACAGGAAAGCUCUUGUUUCUGGUUCAAAGACUCACUGUGGUACAUAUAAUUAUAUUCUGGAGACAACAUUGUUAAAAAUUUGGGUGUUCGUGCUAAAAGUGAUUUUUAAAAAAUACAUAAUUACCUAUUAAUUC